CCUACGAGUGGCUGCAGUGAGGAAUAUUGGUCAAUGGCCGGAAGGCUGAACCAGCCAAGCCGCGUGAAGGACGAAGGUGCCAAGCAUUGUAAACUUCUUUUGUCAAGGGACAAAAUCAGGCUCGAGAGCCUGACCGAGGGUACUUGAAGAAAAAGCAUCGGCUCACUCCGUGCCAGCAGCCGCGGUAAUACGGAGGAUGCGAGCGUUAUCCGGAUUUAUUUGGGUUAACGGGUGCGUAGGCGGACUGUUAAGUCAGUGGUAAAAGGCCGGGGCUCAACCCCGGAGAGCAGGUGAAACUGGCUGUCUUGAGAUGUCGAGAGGUAUGCGGAAUGCGCAGUGUAGCGGUGAAAUGCUUAGAUAUUGCGCAGAACUCCGAUUGCGAAGGCAGCAUACCGGCGGCGAUCUGACGCUGAGGCACGAAAGCGUGGGUAUCGAACAGGAUUAGAUACCCCAGUAGUC
rnacentral:rRNA from 1 species